rnacentral:misc_RNA from 1 species
AACGCACAUUGCGCCUCUCGGUAUUCCGGGAGGCACGCCUGUUCGAGCGCCAUUACACACUCCAAGCUCUGCUUGAUGUUGGACGUUGCGGGGAAGCGCCUUUCAGAGGCGUGGACUUGCACGUCCGGAACGCGUGGGCGUCCGGUCUGUCGAGAAACCACGAGCGUAGCAAGAUUGGCGAAAGCCGUCAUUCGCUCGUCUGGGGCUCCAGCGGACGGUCUACAGACCUGAACGAAGCGCACAUACAUAUGUCUGUGGGUGGAGGUCGGGUCGAAACACAUACAACGAGUUUGGCCUCGGAUCAGGUGGGGAUACCCGCUGAACUUAA